GCUCGGGAUGGAAACAUCCACGGUUUGUUUCCCAACAGACAGCAUCAGCAGGUAAAACUGCAGAAUUUCUCCAUAGAUCAUACACUCACGAGGCAUCAUUAGCUUAACAGCAAGAAAGCCCUGGCGUCUGCAGUAUAAACAGGUACUGGCACCGUGUUCACUGACAGUUCCAGAGGAAACUGACAUUGCACAACUGGAAUUGCACAACUUGACAACAGUUUGUUUUGUUUUUGUUUUUGUUUUUUUGCCAGGGGUGGGAAAUGGAUUCAUGAGUCAGGUGCAGUAACUGAAAUUUUGGGGAUUUUUUUUUUUAUGAGAAAAUUCUUGAACACAUGAAAUUGCAUUGAAUAAUUUAUUAUUGCAUUGAAUAAUUUAGUAUCUAUGUCUUUACCUAAAUGUUUACUUUUUGGUUUUUUAUUUAUUUAUUUUCUUAAUUUAAAGAACAAGUUUAUCAGUAGUGUUGGAAUAGAGUUGAAUGUCCUAAAUACUUCUCAGUUAGGGCACUUGCCUUGCACAUGGCAGACUGAGUUUGAUCCCUGGCUCCCUUAUAAUGUCCUCUGUGUCCACCACGAGUGAUUCCUGAGCACAGAGCCGGAAGUAAAUCCUGAGCACUGCCAGGUGUCACUCCCCGUUAUUUUAAAUUUACUUUUCAAAUACAAUUUGAGUUUAAAACAUAAUGUGUAGGUAUAUAGAUGCUCUCACAUGCCAGUUACUAAAAUUGACAACAGUGAGUUUUAGUUAGCUAUGUAUUUUUUAAAUGCUCAAUAAAUAGUGCAGGUAAAUAAAUAUGUAUUUGAAUUGUAACACUUAAAGCCUGAUCAGUCAUUGCCAGAUAAUUUAUUAAUCGUUGUCAUAUUUUUUUAAUGAUAGAUUGGAGGUGCUAAAACAGCUAAUGGGUUUGCCGUUUAUAGUGCAUCAUGUCCUAGUCUAUUCAUUGAAAUUCUAGUGUCUUGAGAGAAAUCAGUAAGUACUCUUUAGGAAAGAAAUUUUCAUGGUCAUUUAUAUUUGUGAAAUGUUGCUUUAUUAUUCAUUUAACAGGUUUUUUGACUACUUCUAAAAGCUUCUCAACGCCUUUAAUAUGCUAAUGAAUUCUAUCAGUGUAUCUCCAGAAGAGAUAGUUUGCACUGUGAAAUGUGGUGGGUUUGGGGUUUGUUUUGUUUUUUGUUUGUUCGUUUGGUUUUGAGGUUUUUGGUUUUUUUUUUUUUUUGCAGUUCUCGGGAUUGGCUUCAUAUACAUGAGGCAUGUGCUCUGUUACCAAGCUCUAUCUCUUGCUGUCUACAGUGUGUUUUAUUUUGUUUGUUUGUUUGUUUGUUUGGGAGCCACACCCAGCAGUGCUCAGGGAUCACUCCUGGUGGGGAUUGGGGAAUUCGCGGUGGUGGUGCUGGGGAGCAACCUCUGGUCAGCCAUGUGCAAGGCAAGCGCCGUACAUAUAGUACUAUCACUCUGACCCUAAAAUGUGUUUUUAGAGUCACUGUUAUCCCAAGGAAGGUAUUUUAGAAAAGAUUUUUAGUCAUUUUCAUAUUUGUCUGGUGUGGUUUCAUUUGCAAGUUAAUGUCUCAGGAUUUUUUUUUUCCAAAAAAUCAUGUUCUAGAUAAAGAGUGAAUGCCUGACACUGAGUCAAAAAAAAAAAGAAAAAAAUCUGAGAGCUGUAGAUAGUGUAGGUAAGGAAGGCGCUUGCUUUGUACUUGCUGACUCAGGUUUGACCCAGCACCAUAUGUGAUUCUCCUAGCCUGCCAGGAGUGAUCUCUGAGCACAGAGCAAGGAGUAAGCCUGAGCACUGCUAGGUGAGGCCCCAAAACAACAACAAAAAAUUAUUUCAAAAGGUUUAAUUUUCCCAGAUAUCUGUUCUCUUCAAUGGUAUCCUACUCAGCAUUAAUAAACCAGUAGAAAAAUGGAAAGAGAUUUUACCACUAGGUGGCAGUUGCCAGUCACAGACAGUGACUGUGUAUAAUCAUUCCACCAGGGCCCAGAACCUAGCAUGAUAUGGUUUGGAUUGUCUAAAGCUUUGGUUCUUAAAUUUGGUAUCCACAAGAAUCAUAUUAAGUCUUUGCUUAAAAUAUAGGUAUACUGAUCCUGCAGAUUUGGGAAGUGGAUUUUUCCACAAACUCCUAAGUGAUUCUGAAACUAAUUCAAGAAUGUUUGGAUCCUGCGAACUUAAGGGAUGAAAUGGAAACUGCUGAAUGUUACAUCGGUGUCAAAAGGCCUGAAAGUAGUUCUGAGAGUCUAGCGAUUCUGCGCUUGGCCUCGUUCAGUCUGUCUUCAAGGAGUGAGGGCUGGGGAUCGGCUCAGUGGUGAAGUACAGACUGCCUGCAUGAGACCUGGCUUCUGCAAGGAAAAACAACAGUAAAUGGGCAAGACAUUUGAACCAAAGUUUACAAAAAGUCAAGAAGCAGUGGAAGUUUUCUGGUGUGUUUUUUUCUUUUUUUGUUUUUUUCUUUUUUUUGUUUCGUUUUGUUUUGUUUUGACAGACAAAGAGGAGAAUAUAAAUUGGUCACCCAUAUUAGUCAUCACGGAAGUGUACAUCAAAAGCACUACAGUACCAUAUCCCCGUACUGGUUUUGUUUCUUAUUGAGGGAAGCAAAAAUCAAUGAGUAGCAUUAUGACUUGAGCUUGCCACAGAGCCAUGCCAAGAGCCAUUAGAAGGAUGGACUUCCUGAGCCUGUAGCGCAAGAAGGAGAAAUGAACCUCACAUCCCCUGUGAUACAGCAGGGCAUUCUGAUGACAAGAGGCCAGUAGAAGAAAACAUAGGAAAAGAAAGGAGCUAAAUUAAAAUCCACAUCAGAAGCAGUAGUCCCGGAACUGAAGAAAAUCUAACCCACUGUGAAAACCGGCAUCAACCUGCUUCUCGGGACUGAACGGGUUCUCAGGCACCAACAGAAGGAAGAUGGGGAGGACUCCCCUCAUUUGUCCAGCCACACCAGAGCUGCUUUUAUCACUGUGGUAAAUUGUGCCUAGUAAGCCUGCUUUUAAAGAAUCCUACUUCUUACAUAAUAACCAAAAACUUCAGAGUAAAAAAGUAAACCUUCAGAGAACCCGCAGAUGAAUAUAGUAAGAGAAGAGCACCAAUUGAAAUGACUGGUUACAAAGACUGUUUAAAUAGUAGGUGUUCUUUAAACAAGAUGUCAAUCCAGUGCUUCGGAUAUUUAAUUUGGGUAUUCAUUUGGGUUUUAAAAUUGUAUAGCAGUUGUAGUAAAGUCCUAAACACAUGUUCUUUGAACCAUAGCAAAUAGAAGGGAGAGAUUUCAAUCAAAGAUUAUAACAGCAAAAAUAUAUGUGUGUGUGUGUGUGUGUGUGUGUGUGUGUGUGUGUGUGUGUGUGUGUGUGUGUGUGUGUGUGUGUGUGUGUGUGUGUGUGUGUGUGUGUGUGUGUGUGUGUGUGUAUAGAGGGGGAAAAAUAGCAUGAGGCCAGAGAGAGAAUACAGUGGGUAAGGUGCUUACCUUGCCUACCCUGGUUUGAAUCCCUGGCAUCAUAUGGUCCCCUGUGCACUGCAGGGUGUGGCCUAAAAUUUUAAAAAAGCCCGAGGGUGCAGGGAGUCUAUAUCUCAAGUGGAAUACUUUACAAAUUAAUCAGGUAGCAGUGCUGCAUGAUAGGCACCAUGGGGAACCCAGAACAAUCUCAACUUCUGUAUAUCCACUGAAUGGAAAUUAUUUACAGCAGAAUUCAGAGCCCUUGGACUUGUUUUUUUCCAGCUUGUUUGUCCUGAAGACAUUUUAAGAUGACUUUCCCAAUUUUCCCUAAGCCUAGAGCCUAUCCGCUUCCUUCAGUUUCCUGUGGAACUGAAAGGGUUGCACGGCAUCUGAGUAGAUUGCAAAGGAGCUUAAAACAAUCCAUGGAACCAGAUAGUUCCCCUAAGAGCAUUUCAAAAAGCAGCCGUUGUCCAGAGGCUAUUAUUUGACCACAGGUAAUAAAACUAAAUAAAAGCAUAAUCACCUAGAAAAUAAUUUAAAAACUUGAUUCUAAGAAUAUUUUUCAAGAAAAAUGUAGGGGCUGGAGCAAUAGCACAGCGGGUAGAGCGUUUGCCUUGCACGCGGCCGACCCGGGUUCGAUUCCCAGCAUCCCAUAUGGUCCCCUGAGCACCGCCAGGGGUGAUUUCCUGAGUGCAGAGCCAGGAGUAACCCCAGUGCAUUGCCAGGUGUGACCCAAAAAGAAAAAAAAUGUAAUGGAAGCAAAAUGCCCCAGGGUGUAUAUAAAUCUGUGGUGAAGGGCAAAUCUCCUAGAAAGGACUUAAACAUGCAACACUAAAAACAAUAAUAAUAAUAAUAAAGAUAAACUUUGAAGUAAAACUGUAAAGAUUAUAAAAGUAAUCUGAGAAACCAACAAAUGAAGGGCCAGAGAUAUAGUACAAGGAUUAAGGCAGUCGGCCAAACCAGGUUCCAUUCGUGACAAUACAUACGGUCUUCCAAGCACCAUGAGGAAUGGCCUCUGAGUUUGAUGGAUAGGGCCCUCCAGGGCACCAUCCCCCCACC